UUCACAACGAACGCAUCCAAUCUACCUAAUUAUACACUAGAACAUGUUUGGGAGUGUUUUUGAGCAUUCGGUUCCGGAACGAAAAACGAUGCAAAACGGGUGCAUUUCGGCACCCGAAUGCACUAUUUCCGGGUAGCAAAAUUUGGGUGGAUUUUUUUCGCAACGAACCCAUCCAAUCUUCCUAAUUAUACACUAGAACAUGUUUUGGAGUGUUUUUGAGCAUUCGGUUCCGGGACGAAAAACGAUGCAAAAUGGGAGCAUCUCGGCACCCAAAUGCACUAUUUCCAUGUAGCGAAACUCGGGUGGAUUUUUUCACAACGAACGCAUCCAAUCUACCUAAUUAUACACUAGAACAUGUUUGGGAGUGUUUUCGAGCAUUCGGUUCCGGAACGAAAAACGAUGCGAAACGUUGCAUUUCGGCACCCUAAUGCACUAUUUCCGAGUAGCAAAACUCGGGUGGAUGGUUUCGCAACGAACGCAUCCAAUCUACCUAAUGAGACCCUAGAACAUGUUUGGGAGUGUUUUUGAGCAUUCGGUUCCGGCACGAAAAACGAUGCAAAACGGGUGCAUUUCGGUACCCGAAUGCACUAUUUACAGGUAGCGAAACUCGGGUGGAUUUUUUCACAACGAACGCAUCCAAUCUUCCUAAUUAUACACUAGAACUUGUUUGGGAGUGUUUUUGAGCAUUCGGUUCCGGCACGAAAAACGAUGCAAAACGGGUGCAUUUCGGCACCCGAAUGCACUAUUUCCGGAUAGCGAAACUCGGGUGGAUUUUUUCGCAACGAACGCAUCCAAUCUUCCUAAUUAGACCCUAGAACUUGUUUGGGAGUGUUUUUGAGCAUUCGGUUCCGGCACGAAAAAUGAUGCAAAAUGGGUGCAUUUCGGCACCUGAAUGCAAUAUUGCCGGGUAGCGAAACUCGUGUGGAUUUUUUCGCAACGAACGCAGGCAAUCUACCUAAUUAGACCCUAGAACAUGUUUGGGAGUGUUUUUGGGCAUUCGGUUCGGGCACGAAAAAUGAUGCAAAACGGGUGCAUUUCGGCACCCGAAUGCACUAUUCCCGGGUAGCGAAACUCGGGUGGAUUUUUUCACAACGAACGCAUCCAAUCUACCUAAAUAUACCCUAGAACAUGUUUAGGAGUAUUUUUGAGCAUUCGGUUCCGGCACGAAAAACGAUGCAAAACGGGUGCAUUUCGGCACCUGAAUGCACUAUUCCCGGGUAGCGAAACUCGGGUGGAUUUUUUCGCAACGAAUGCAUCCAAUCUACCUAAUUAGACCCUAGAACUUGUUUGGGAGUGUUUUUAAGCAUUCGGUUCCGGAACGAAAAACGAUGCAAAACGGGUGCAGUUCGUACCCGAAUGCACUAUUUCCGGGUAGCGAAACUCGGGUGGAUUUUUUCACAACGAACGCAUCCAAUCUUCCUUAUUAUACACUAGAACUUGUUUGGGAGUGUUUUUGAGCAUUCGAUUCCGGCACGAAAAACGAUGCAAAACAGGUGCAUUUCGGCACCCGAAUGCACUAUUUCCGGGAAGCGAAACUCGGGUGGAUUUUUUCGCAACGAACACAUCCAAUCUACCUAAUUAGACCCUAGAACAUGUUUGGGAGUGUUUUUGAGCAUUCGGUUCCGGCACGAAAAACGAUGCAAAACGGGUGCAUUUCGGCACCCGAAUGCACUAUUUCCGAGUAGCAAAACUCGGGUGGAUUUUUUUGCAACGAACGCAUCCAAUCUACCUAAUUAUACACUAGAACAUGUUUGGGAGUGUUUUUGAGCAUUCGGUUCCCGAGGGAAAAACAAUGCGAAAUGGUGCAUUUCGGCACCCUAAUGCACUAUUUCCGGGUAGCGAAACUCGGGUGGAUUUUUUCGCAAUGAACGCAUCCAAUCUAACUAAUGAGACCCUAGAACAUGUUUGGGAGUGUUUUUGAGCAUUCGGUUCCGGCACAAAAAACGAUGCAAAAUGGGUGCUUAAGCACCCGAAAGCAUUAUUUCCAGGUAGCGAAACUCGGGUGGAUUUUUUCGCAACGAACGCAUCCAAUCUACCUAAUGAGACCCUAGGACAUGUUUGGGAGUGUUUUGGGGCAUUCGGUUCCGGCACGAAAAAUGAUGCAAAACGGGUGCAUUUCGACACCCGAAUGCACUAUUUCCGGAUAGCGAAACUCAGGUGGAUUUUUUCGCAACGAACGCAUCCAAUCUUCCUAAAUAUACCCUAGAACAUGUUUGGGAGUGUUUUUGAGCAUUCGGUUCCGGCACGAAAAACGAUGCAAAACGGGUGCAUUUCGGCACCCGAAUGCACUAUUGCUGGGUAGCGAAAGUCGGGUGGAUUUUUUCGCAACGAACGCAUGCAAUCUUCCUAAAUAUGCACUAGAACAUGUUUGGGAGUAUUUUUGGGCAUUCGGUUCCGGCACGAAAAACGAUGCAAAACGGGUGCAUUUCGGCACCCGAAUGCACUAUUGCCGGGUAGCGAAACUCGGGUGGAUUUUUUCGCAACGAACGCAUGCAAUCUUCCUAAAUAUGCACUAGAACAUGUUUGGGAGUGUUUUUGGGCAUUCGGUUCCGGCACGAAAAACGAUGCAAAACGGGUGCAUUUCGGCACCCGAAUGCACUAUUGCCGGGUAGCGAAACUCGGGUGGAUUUUUUCGCAACAAACGCAUGCAAUCUUCCUAAAUAUGCACUAGAACAUGUUUGGGAGUGUUUUUGGGCAUUCGGUUCCAGCACGAAAAACGAUGCAAAACGGGUGCAUUUCGGCACCCGAAUGCAUUAUUGCCGAGUAGCGAAACUCGGGUGGAUUUUUUCGCAACGAACGCAUGCAAUCUUCCUAAAUAUGCACUAGAACAUGUUUGGGAGUGUUUUUGGGCAUUCGGUUCCGGCACGAAAAACGAUGCAAAACGGGUGCAUUUCGGCACCCGAAUGCACUAUUGCCGGGUAGCGAAACUCGGGUGGAUUUUUUCGCAACGAACGCAUGCAAUCUUCCUAAAUAUGCACUAGAACAUGUUUGGGAGUGUUUUUGGGCAUUCGGUUCCGGCACGAAAAAUGAUGCAAAACGGGUGAAUUUCGGCACCCGAAUACACUAUUGCUGGGUAGCGAAAGUCGGGUGGAUUUUUUUCGCAACGAACGCAUGCAAUCUUCCUAAAUAUGCACUAGAACAUGUUUGGGAGUGUUUUUGGGCAUUCGGUUCCGGCACGAAAAACGAUGCAAAACGGGUGCAUUUCGGCACCCGAAUGCACUAUUGCCGGGUAGCGAAACUCGGGUGGAUUUUUUCGCAACGAACGCAUGCAAUCUUCCUAAAUAUGCACUAGAACAUGUUUGGGAGUGUUUUUGGGCAUUCGGUUCCGGCACGAAAAACGAUGCAAAACGGGUGCAUUUCGGCACCCGAAUGCACUAUUGCCGGGUAGCGAAACUCGGGUGGAUUUUUUCGCAACGAACGCAUGCAAUCUUCCUAAAUAUGCACUAGAACAUGUUUGGGAGUGUUUUUGGGCAUUCGGUUCCGGCACGAAAAAUGAUGCAAAACGGGUGCAUUUCGGCACCCGAAUGCACUAUUAUCGGGUAGAGAAAGUCGGGUGGAUUUUUUCGCAACGAACGCAUGCAAUCUUCCUAAAUAUGCACUAGAACAUGUUUGGGAGUGUUUUUGGGCAUUCGGUUCCGGCACGAAAAACGAUGCAAAACGGGUGCAUUUCGGCACCCGAAUGCACUAUUGCCGGGUAGCGAAACUCGGGUGGAUUUUUUCGCAACGAACGCAUGCAAUCUUCCUAAAUAUGCACUAGAACAUGUUUGGGAGUCUUUUUGGGCAUUCGGUUCCGGCACGAAAAAUGAUGCAAAACGGGUGAAUUUCGGCACCCGAAUACACUAUUGCUGGGUAGCGAAAGUCGGGUGGAUUUUUUUCGCAACGAACGCAUGCAAUCUUCCUAAAUAUGCACUAGAACAUGUUUGGGAGUGUUUUUGGGCAUUCGGUUCCGGCACGAAAAACGAUGCAAAACGGGUGCAUUUCGGCACCCGAAUGCACUAUUGCCGGGUAGCGAAACUCGGGUGGAUUUUUUCGCAACGAACGCAUGCAAUCUUCCUAAAUAUGCACUAGAACAUGUUUGGGAGUGUUUUUGGGCAUUCGGUUCCGGCACGGAAAACGAUGCAAAACGGGUGCAUUUCGGCACCCGAAUGCACUAUUGCCGGGUAGCGAAACUCGGGUGGAUUUUUUCGCAACGAACGCAUGCAAUCUUCCUAAAUAUGCACUAGAACAUGUUUGGGAGUGUUUUUGGGCAUUCGGUUCCGGCACGAAAAAUGAUGCAAAACGGGUGCAUUUCGGCACCCGAAUGCACUAUUAUCGGGUAGAGAAAGUCGGGUGGAUUUUUUCGCAACGAACGCAUGCAAUCUUCCUAAAUAUGCACUAGAACAUGUUUGGGAGUGUUUUUGGGCAUUCGGUUCCGGCACGAAAAAUGAUGCAAAACGGGUGCAUUUCGGCACCCGAAUGCACUAUUGCUGGGUAGCGAAAGUCGGGUGGAUUUUUUCGCAACGAACGCAUGCAAUCUUCCUAAAUAUGCACUAGAACAUGUUUGGGAGUGUUUUUGGGCAUUCGGUUCCGGCACGAAAGCAUUAUUUCCAGGUAGCGAAACUCGGGUGGAUUUUUUCGCAACGAACGCAUCCAAUCUACCUAAUGAGACCCUAGGACAUGUUUGGGAGUGUUUUGGGGCAUUCGGUUCCGGCACGAAAAAUGAUGCAAAACGGGUGCAUUUCGGCACCCGAAUGCACUAUUUCCGGAUAGCGAAACUCAGGUGGAUUUUUUCGCAACGAACGCAUCCAAUCUUGCUAAAUAUAACCUAGAACAUGUUUGGGAGUGUUUUUGAGCAUUCGGUUCCGGCACGAAAAACGAUGCAAAACGGGUGCAUUUCGGCACCCGAAUGCACUAUUGCCGGGUAGCGAAACUCGGGUGGAUUUUUUCGCAACGAACGCAUGCAAUCUUCCUAAAUAUGCACUAGAACAUGUUUGGGAGUGUUUUUGGGCAUUCGGUUCCGGCACGGAAAACGAUGCAAAACGGGUGCAUUUCGGCACCCGAAUGCAGUAUUGCCGAGUAGCGAAACUCGGGUGGAUUUUUUCGCAACGAACGCAUGCAAUCUUCCUAAAUAUGCACUAGAACAUGUUUGGGAGUGUUUUUGGGCAUUCGGUUCCGGCACGAAAAACGAUGCAAAACGGGUGCAUUUCGGCACCCGAAUGCACUAUUGCCGGGUAGCGAAACUCGGGUGGAUUUUUUCGCAACGAACGCAUGCAAUCUUCCUAAAUAUGCACUAGAACAUGUUUGGGAGUGUUUUUGGGCAUUCGGUUCCGGCACGAAAAAUGAUGCAAAACGGGUGCAUUUCGGCACCCGAAUGCACUAUUAUCGGGUAGAGAAAGUCGGGUGGAUUUUUUCGCAACGAACGCAUGCAAUCUUCCUAAAUAUGCACUAGAACAUGUUUGGGAGUGUUUUUGGGCAUUCGGUUCCGGCACGAAAAAUAAUGCAAAACGGGUGCAUUUCGGCACCCGAAUGCACUAUUGCUGGGUAGCGAAAGUCGGGUGGAUUUUUUCGCAACGAACGCAUGCAAUCUUCCUAAAUAUGCACUAGAACAUGUUUGGGAGUGUUUUUGGGCAUUCGGUUCCGGCACGAAAAACGAUGCAAAACGGGUGCAUUUCGGCACCCGAAUGCACUAUUGCCGGGUAGCGAAACUAGGGUGGAUUUUUUCGCAACAAACGCAUGCAAUCUUCCUAAUUAGACCCUAGAACAUGUUUGGGAGUGUUUUUGGGCAUUCGGUUCCGGCACGAAAAACGAUGCAAAACGGGUGCAUUUCGGCACCCGAAUGCACUAUUGCCGGGUAGGGAAACUCGGGUGGAUUUUUUCACAACAAACGCAUGCAAUCUUCCUAAUUAGACCCUAGAACAUGUUUGGGAUUGUUUUUGGGCAUUCGGUUCCGGCACGAAAAAUGAUGCAAAAUGGGUGCAUUUCGGGACCCGAAUGCACUAUUGCCGGGUAGCGAAACUCGGGUGGAUUUUUUCGCAACGAACGCAUGCAAUCUUCCUAAAUAUGCACUAGAACAUGUUUGGGAGUGUUUUUGGGCAUUCGGUUCCGGCACGAAAAACGAUGCAAAACGGGUGCAUUUCGGCACCCGAAUGCACUAUUGUCGGGUAGAGAAAGUCGGGUGGAUUUUUUCGCAACGAACUCAUGCAAUCUUCGUAAAUAUGCACUAGAACAUGUUUGGGAGUGUUGUUGGGCAUUCGGUUCCGGCACGAAAAACGAUGCAAAACGGGUGCAUUUCGGCACCCGAAUGCACUAUUGCCGGGUAGCGAAAGUCGGGUGGAUUUUUUCGCAACGAACGCAUGCAAUCUUCCUAAAUAUGCACUAGAACAUGUUUGGGAGUGUUUUUGGGCAUUCGGUUCCGGCACGAAAAACGAUGCAAAACGGAUGCAUUUCGGCACCCGAAUGCACUAUUGCCGGGUAGCGAAACUAGGGUGGAUUUUUUCGCAACAAACGCAUGCAAUCUUCCUAAUUAGACCCUAGAACAUGUUUGGGAGUGUUUUUGGGCAUUCGGUUCCGGCACGAAAAACGAUGCAAAACGGGUGCAUUUCGGCACCCGAAUGCACUAUUGCCGGGUAGGGAAACUCGGGUGGAUUUUUUCACAACAAACGCAUGCAAUCUUCCUAAUUAGACCCUAGAACAUGUUUGGGAUUGUUUUUGGGCAUUCGGUUCCGGCACGAAAAAUGAUGCAAAAUGGGUGCAUUUCGGGACCCGAAUGCACUAUUGCCGGGUAGCGAAACUCGGGUGGAUUUUUUCGCAACGAACGCAUGCAAUCUUCCUAAAUAUGCACUAGAACAUGUUUGGGAGUGUUUUUGGGCAUUCGGUUCCGGCACGAAAAACGAUGCAAAACGGGUGCAUUUCGGCACCCGAAUGCACUAUUGUCGGGUAGAGAAAGUCGGGUGGAUUUUUUCGCAACGAACUCAUGCAAUCUUCGUAAAUAUGCACUAGAACAUGUUUGGGAGUGUUGUUGGGCAUUCGGUUCCGGCACGAAAAACGAUGCAAAACGGGUGCAUUUCGGCACCCGAAUGCACUAUUGCCGGGUAGCGAAACUCGGGUGGAUUUUUUCGCAACGAACGCAUGCAAUCUUCCUAAAUAUGCACUAGAACAUGUUUGGGAGGGUUUUUGGGCAUUCGGUUCCGGCACGAAAAAUGAUGCAAAACGGGUGCAUUUCGGCACCCGGAUGCACUAUUAUCGGGUAGAGAAAGUCGGGUGGAUUUUUUCGCAACGAAUGCAUGCAAUCUUCCUAAAUAUGUACUAGAACAUGUUCGGGAGUGUUUUUGGGCAUUCGGUUCCGGCACGAAAAACGAUGCAAAACGGGUGCAUUUCGGCACCCGAAUGCACUAUUGCUGGGUAGCGAAAGUCGGGUGGAUUUUUUCGCAACGAACGCAUGCAAUCUUCCUAAAUAUGCAAUAGAACAUGUUUGGGAGUGUUUUUGGGCAUUCGGUUCCGGCACGAAAAACGAUGCAAAACGGGUGCAUUUCGGCACCCGAAUGCACUAUUGCCGGGUAGCGAAACUCGGGUGGAUUUUUUCGCAACGAACGCAUGCAAUCUUCCUAAUUAGACCCUAGAACAUGUUUGGGAGUGUUUUUGGGCAUUCGGUUCCGGCACGAAAAACUAUGCAAAACGGGUGCAUUUCGGCACCCGAAUGCACUAUUGUCGGGUAGGGAAACUCGGGUGGAUUUUUUCACAACAAACGCAUGCAAUCUUCCUAAUUAGACCCUAGAACAUGUUUGGGAGUGUUUUUGGGCAUUCGGUUCCGGCACGAAAAACGAUGCAAAACGGGUGCAUUUCGGCACCCGAAUGCGCUAUUGCCGGGUAGCGAAACUCGGGUGGAUUUUUUCGCAACGAACGCAUGCAAUCUUCCUAAAUAUGCACUAGAACAUGUUUGGGAGUGUUUUUGGGCAUUCGGUUCCGGCACGAAAAACGAUGCAAAACGGGUGCAUUUCGGCACCCGAAUGCACUAUUGCCGGGUAGCGAAACUCGGGUGGAUUUUUUCGCAACGAACGCAUGCAAUCUUCCUAAAUAUGCACUAGAACAUGUUUGGGAGUGUUUUUGGGCAUUCGGUUCCGGCACGAAAAAUGAUGCAAAACGGGUGAAUUUCGGCACCCGAAUACACUAUUGCGGGGUAGCGAAAGUCGGGUGGAUUUUUUUCGCAACGAACGCAUGCAAUCUUCCUAAAUACGCACUAGAACAUGUUUGGGAGUGUUUUUGGGCAUUCGGUUCCGGCACGGAAAACGAUGCAAAACGGGUGCAUUUCGGCACCCGAAUGCACUAUUGCCGGGUAGCGAAACUCGGGUGGAUUUUUUCGCAACGAACGCAUGCAAUCUUCCUAAAUAUGCACUAGAACAUGUUUGGGAGGGUUUUUGGGCAUUCGGUUCCGGCACGAAAAAUGAUGCAAAACGGGUGCAUUUCGGCACCCGGAUGCACUAUUAUCGGGUAGAGAAAGUCGGGUGGAUUUUUUUCGCAACGAAUGCAUGCAAUCUUCCUAAAUAUGUACUAGAACAUGUUCGGGAGUGUUUUUGGGCAUUCGGUUCCGGCACGAAAAACGAUGCAAAACGGGUGCAUUUCGGCACCCGAAUGCACUAUUGCUGGGUAGCGAAAGUCGGGUGGAUUUUUUCGCAACGAACGCAUGCAAUCUUCCUAAAUAUGCAAUAGAACAUGUUUGGGAGUGUUUUUGGGCAUUCGGUUCCGGCACGAAAAACGAUGCAAAACGGGUGCAUUUCGGCACCCGAAUGCACUAUUGCCGGGUAGCGAAACUCGGGUGGAUUUUUUCGCAACGAACGCAUGCAAUCUUCCUAAUUAGACCCUAGAACAUGUUUGGGAGUGUUUUUGGGCAUUCGGUUCCGGCACGAAAAACUAUGCAAAACGGGUGCAUUUCGGCACCCGAAUGCACUAUUGUCGGGUAGGGAAACUCGGGUGGAUUUUUUCACAACAAACGCAUGCAAUCUUCCUAAUUAGACCCUAGAACAUGUUUGGGAGUGUUUUUGGGCAUUCGGUUCCGGCACGAAAAACGAUGCAAAACGGGUGCAUUUCGGCACCCGAAUGCGCUAUUGCCGGGUAGCGAAACUCGGGUGGAUUUUUUCGCAACGAACGCAUGCAAUCUUCCUAAAUAUGCACUAGAACAUGUUUGGGAGUGUUUUUGGGCAUUCGGUUCCGGCACGAAAAACGAUGCAAAACGGGUGCAUUUCGGCACCCGAAUGCACUAUUGCCGGGUAGCGAAACUCGGGUGGAUUUUUUCGCAACGAACGCAUGCAAUCUUCCUAAAUAUGCACUAGAACAUGUUUGGGAGUGUUUUUGGGCAUUCGGUUCCGGCACGAAAAAUGAUGCAAAACGGGUGAAUUUCGGCACCCGAAUACACUAUUGCGGGGUAGCGAAAGUCGGGUGGAUUUUUUUCGCAACGAACGCAUGCAAUCUUCCUAAAUACGCACUAGAACAUGUUUGGGAGUGUUUUUGGGCAUUCGGUUCCGGCACGGAAAACGAUGCAAAACGGGUGCAUUUCGGCACCCGAAUGCACUAUUGCCGGGUAGCGAAACUCGGGUGGAUUUUUUCGCAACGAACGCAUGCAAUCUUCCUAAAUAUGCACUAGAACAUGUUUGGGAGGGUUUUUGGGCAUUCGGUUCCGGCACGAAAAAUGAUGCAAAACGGGUGCAUUUCGGCACCCGGAUGCACUAUUAUCGGGUAGAGAAAGUCGGGUGGAUUUUUUCGCAACGAAUGCAUGCAAUCUUCCUAAAUAUGUACUAGAACAUGUUCGGGAGUGUUUUUGGGCAUUCGGUUCCGGCACGAAAAACGAUGCAAAACGGGUGCAUUUCGGCACCCGAAUGCACUAUUGCUGGGUAGCGAAAGUCGGGUGGAUUUUUUCGCAACGAACGCAUGCAAUCUUCCUAAAUAUGCAAUAGAACAUGUUUGGGAGUGUUUUUGGGCAUUCGGUUCCGGCACGAAAAACGAUGCAAAACGGGUGCAUUUCGGCACCCGAAUGCACUAUUGCCGGGUAGCGAAACUCGGGUGGAUUUUUUCGCAACGAACGCAUGCAAUCUUCCUAAUUAGACCCUAGAACAUGUUUGGGAGUGUUUUUGGGCAUUCGGUUCCGGCACGAAAAACUAUGCAAAACGGGUGCAUUUCGGCACCCGAAUGCACUAUUGUCGGGUAGGGAAACUCGGGUGGAUUUUUUCACAACAAACGCAUGCAAUCUUCCUAAUUAGACCCUAGAACAUGUUUGGGAGUGUUUUUGGGCAUUCGGUUCCGGCACGAAAAACGAUGCAAAACGGGUGCAUUUCGGCACCCGAAUGCGCUAUUGCCGGGUAGCGAAACUCGGGUGGAUUUUUUCGCAACGAACGCAUGCAAUCUUCCUAAAUAUGCACUAGAACAUGUUUGGGAGUGUUUUUGGGCAUUCGGUUCCGGCACGAAAAACGAUGCAAAACGGGUGCAUUUCGGCACCCGAAUGCACUAUUGCCGGGUAGCGAAACUCGGGUGGAUUUUUUCGCAACGAACGCAUGCAAUCUUCCUAAAUAUGCACUAGAACAUGUUUGGGAGUGUUUUUGGGCAUUCGGUUCCGGCACGAAAAAUGAUGCAAAACGGGUGAAUUUCGGCACCCGAAUACACUAUUGCGGGGUAGCGAAAGUCGGGUGGAUUUUUUUCGCAACGAACGCAUGCAAUCUUCCUAAAUACGCACUAGAACAUGUUUGGGAGUGUUUUUGGGCAUUCGGUUCCGGCACGAAAAACGAUGCAAAACGGGUGCAUUUCGGCACCCGAAUGCACUAUUGCCGGGUAGCGAAACUCGGGUGGAUUUUUUCGCAACGAACGCAUGCAAUCUUCCUAAAUAUGCACUAGAACAUGUUUGGGAGUGUUUUUGGGCAUUCGGUUCCGGCACGAAAACGAUGCAAAACGGGUGCAUUUCGGCACCCGAAUGCACUAUUGCCGGGUAGCGAAACUCGGGUGGAUUUUUUCGCAACGAACGCAUGCAAUCUUCCUAAAUAUGCACUAGAACAUGUUUGGGAGUGUUUUUGGGCAUUCGGUUCCGGCACGAAAAAUGAUGCAAAACGGGUGCAUUUCGGCACCCGAAUGCACUAUUGCCGGGUAGCGAAACUCGGGUGGAUUUUUUCGCAACGAACGCAUGCAAUCUUCCUAAAUAUGCACUAGAACAUGUUUGGGAGUGUUUUUGGGCAUUCGGUUCCGGCACGAAAAAUGAUGCAAAACGGGUGCAUUUCGGCACCCGAAUGCACUAUUAUCGGGUAGAGAAAGUCGGGUGGAUUUUUUCGCAACGAACGCAUGCAAUCUUCCUAAAUAUGCACUAGAACAUGUUUGGGAGUGUUUUUGGGCAUUCGGUUCCGGCACGAAAAAUGAUGCAAAACGGGUGCAUUUCGGCACCCGAAUGCACUAUUGCCGGGUAGCGAAACUCGGGUGGAUUUUUUCGCAACGAACGCAUGCAAUCUUCCUAAAUAUGCACUAGAACAUGUUUGGGAGUGUUUUUGGGCAUUCGGUUCCGGCACGAAAAACGAUGCAAAACGGGUGCAUUUCGGCACCCGAAUGCACUAUUGUCGGGUAGAGAAAGUCGGGUGGAUUUUUUCGCAACGAACUCAUGCAAUCUUCGUAAAUAUGCACUAGAACAUGUUUGGGAGUGUUUUUGGGCAUUCGGUUCCGGCACGAAAAACGAUGCAAAACGGGUGCAUUUCGGCACCCGAAUGCACUAUUGCCGGGUAGGGAAACUCGGGUGGAUUUUUUCACAACAAACGCAUGCAAUCUUCCUAAAUACGCACUAGAACAUGUUUGGGAGUGUUUUUGGGCAUUCGGUUCCGGCACGAAAAAUGAUGCAAAAUGGGUGCAUUUCGGGACCCGAAUGCACUAUUGCCGGGUAGCGAAACUCGGGUGGAUUUUUUCGCAACGAACGCAUGCAAUCUUCCUAAAUAUGCACUAGAACAUGUUUGGGAGUGUUUUUGGGCAUUCGGUUCCGGCACGAAAAACGAUGCAAAACGGGUGCAUUUCGGCACCCGAAUGCACUAUUGCCGGGUAGCGAAACUCGGGUGGAUUUUUUCGCAACGAACGCAUGCAAUCUUCCUAAAUAUGCACUAGAACAUGUUUGGGAGUGUUUUUGGGCAUUCGGUUCCGGCACGAAAAAUGAUGCAAAACGGGUGAAUUUCGGCACCCGAAUACACUAUUGUCGGGUAGGGAAACUCGGGUGGAUUUUUUUCGCAACAAACGCAUGCAAUCUUCCUAAAUACGCACUAGAACAUGUUUGGGAGUGUUUUUGGGCAUUCGGUUCCGGCACGAAAAACGAUGCAAAACGGGUGCAUUUCGGCACCCGAAUGCGCUAUUGCCGGGUAGCGAAACUCGGGUGGAUUUUUUCGCAACGAACGCAUGCAAUCUUCCUAAAUAUGCACUAGAACAUGUUUGGGAGUGUUUUUGGGCAUUCGGUUCCGGCACGAAAAACGAUGCAAAACGGGUGCAUUUCGGCACCCGAAUGCACUAUUGCCGGGUAGCGAAACUCGGGUGGAUUUUUUCGCAACGAACGCAUGCAAUCUUCCUAAAUAUGCACUAGAACAUGUUUGGGAGUGUUUUUGGGCAUUCGGUUCCGGCACGAAAAAUGAUGCAAAACGGGUGAAUUUCGGCACCCGAAUACACUAUUGCGGGGUAGCGAAAGUCGGGUGGAUUUUUUUCGCAACGAACGCAUGCAAUCUUCCUAAAUACGCACUAGAACAUGUUUGGGAGUGUUUUUGGGCAUUCGGUUCCGGCACGAAAACGAUGCAAAACGGGUGCAUUUCGGCACCCGAAUGCACUAUUGCCGGGGUAGCGAAACUCGGGUGGAUUUUUUCGCAACGAACGCAUGCAAUCUUCCUAAAUAUGCACUAGAACAUGUUUGGGAGUGUUUUUGGGCAUUCGGUUCCGGCACGAAAACGAUGCAAAACGGGUGCAUUUCGGCACCCGAAUGCACUAUUGCCGGGUAGCGAAACUCGGGUGGAUUUUUUCGCAACGAACGCAUGCAAUCUUCCUAAAUAUGCACUAGAACAUGUUUGGGAGUGUUUUUGGGCAUUCGGUUCCGGCACGAAAAAUGAUGCAAAACGGGUGCAUUUCGGCACCCGAAUGCACUAUUGCCGGGUAGCGAAACUCGGGUGGAUUUUUUCGCAACGAACGCAUGCAAUCUUCCUAAAUAUGCACUAGAACAUGUUUGGGAGUGUUUUUGGGCAUUCGGUUCCGGCACGAAAAAUGAUGCAAAACGGGUGCAUUUCGGCACCCGAAUGCACUAUUAUCGGGUAGAGAAACUCGGGUGGAUUUUUUCGCAACGAACGCAUGCAAUCUUCCUAAAUAUGCACUAGAACAUGUUUGGGAGUGUUUUUGGGCAUUCGGUUCCGGCACGAAAAAUGAUGCAAAACGGGUGCAUUUCGGCACCCGAAUGCACUAUUGCCGGGUAGCGAAACUCGGGUGGAUUUUUUCGCAACGAACGCAUGCAAUCUUCCUAAAUAUGCACUAGAACAUGUUUGGGAGUGUUUUUGGGCAUUCGGUUCCGGCACGAAAAACGAUGCAAAACGGGUGCAUUUCGGCACCCGAAUGCACUAUUGUCGGGUAGAGAAAGUCGGGUGGAUUUUUUCGCAACGAACGCAUGCAAUCUUCGUAAAUAUGCACUAGAACAUGUUUGGGAGUGUUGUUGGGCAUUCGGUUCCGGCACGAAAAACGAUGCAAAACGGGUGCAUUUCGGCACCCGAAUGCACUAUUGCCGGGUAGGGAAACUCGGGUGGAUUUUUUCACAACAAACGCAUGCAAUCUUCCUAAAUACGCACUAGAACAUGUUUGGGAGUGUUUUUGGGCAUUCGGUUCCGGCACGAAAAAUGAUGCAAAAUGGGUGCAUUUCGGGACCCGAAUGCACUAUUGCCGGGUAGCGAAACUCGGGUGGAUUUUUUCGCAACGAACGCAUGCAAUCUUCCUAAAUAUGCACUAGAACAUGUUUGGGAGUGUUUUUGGGCAUUCGGUUCCGGCACGAAAAACGAUGCAAAACGGGUGCAUUUCGGCACCCGAAUGCACUAUUGUCGGGUAGAGAAAGUCGGGUGGAUUUUUUCGCAACGAACGCAUGCAAUCUUCCUAAAUAUGCACUAGAACAUGUUUGGGAGUGUUUUUGGGCAUUCGGUUCCGGCACGGAAAACGAUGCAAAACGGGUGCAUUUCGGCACCCGAAUGCACUAUUGCCGGGUAGCGAAAGUCGGGUGGAUUUUUUCGCAACGAACGCAUGCAAUCUUCCUAAAUAUGCACUAGAACAUGUUUGGGAGUGUUUUUGGGCAUUCGGUUCCGGCACGAAAAACGAUGCAAAACGGAUGCAUUUCGGCACCCGAAUGCACUAUUGCCGGGUAGCGAAACUAGGGUGGAUUUUUUCGCAACAAACGCAUGCAAUCUUCCUAAUUAGACCCUAGAACAUGUUUGGGAGUGUUUUUGGGCAUUCGUUUCCGGCACGAAAAACGAUGCAAAACGGGUGCAUUUCGGCACCCGAAUGCACUAUUGCCGGGUAGGGAAACUCGGGUGGAUUUUUUCACAACAAACGCAUGCAAUCUUCCUAAUUAGACCCUAGAACAUGUUUGGGAUUGUUUUUGGGCAUUCGGUUCCGGCACGAAAAAUGAUGCAAAAUGGGUGCAUUUCGGCACCCGAAUGCACUAUUGCCGGGUAGCGAAACUCGGGUGGAUUUUUUCGCAACGAACGCAUGCAAUCUUCCUAAAUAUGCACUAGAACAUGUUUGGGAGUGUUUUUGGGCAUUCGGUUCCGGCACGAAAAAC
rnacentral:lncRNA from 1 species